AAGAAUGUGGGAAAAUUACUUUACUAGAGGUCUUAAUUGAGCUCUAAAUAAUUUACUGAUUUGACACUGAUGAUUUGGUGUCUUAACUCGAACCUUACACUACAUUUAUAUAGAAAAUUUUGCAAGCUUCUGCCAAGUUUUAGAAGUAAUGUACGAUGUACUGACGGUAGGACUGGGCCAAAUCAUUCAUAUUUGACGCUUGUUACUGGCCUGCUCUGGUUUUCGUAAUCAAUUCAUUUUAGCAUUUUGUUUCCUUUUCUGUACUCUAGGUUUUCUUUUGUUGUAAAAGGCUUUCACGUUUUCUUCAUGAUGUGGAAGAUAUGAGCUGUAUGAAACUUUAUUUGGGGGUUCUAACACUAAACUUGAUGGAAGUGGUUUAAAGCAACGGAAAGAUGUCAGAUGCACAGUAAAAACUACUUAUUUCUAUGAUUUGAUAAGCUGUUACAUACCUCUUCAUAUGUGUUUUGUUAGUGUGUAUCAUGUAUGUAUUCUUAACCUUGUUGUGCCUUUAAAAUGGAUUUAUAUCUCUUUCUAAGGGGGGCAAAAAUUUUUGUUCUGGAUUAAUUUAAUUUCAUUGUUUCUCCUUUGUGUAGUUAAGCAAUAAUGAAGUGACAGGAUGUACAUGAGAACUUAAUAGGUAGUUACUCUUCCUGAACUCACAGAUGUGUGCAAAUACUAAUACAGAAAAGUAAAAGUAGAUAAGUGUUCAUCAUGGAUUUACAGAUGAGGGAGAUACUAAAAUGUGGUUUUACCUUAUCUUUGACUUUGCAGCUUUUUAAUAAUUUGGGAAGUACCAUAGAAUUAAAACCCCCAAAUACAAUUCUUAUAAACCUCAUCUAAAAUUCUUAAAUGUUGUUUCACAGUUCUGCUAUAAACAAAACUAGUUCAGUGUAAACAUUCAAAUAAAAUACACGCUUUAAUGGAACAAGUAAUUCUGAAAGCCUGUGUCUUAUUAAGAUAAGAAGAGUGGGAGGUUAGGUGUAUUUUCUUGUAUCUUUACUUUUUGAUUAAUGUUAAAGGAAUAGAGGUGAAAUAAAUGAGAUGCAUAGAAAGGCUAAAUAUACAGGACACAAUUUCCUGGGAAAGGACUGAAGUUCAAAUAUGUGUAAAUUAAGUACCAGUGCUUCCAGUAGAGGACUUCUGUCACAAGUUUAGAGAGCUCCUCCUUAGAAACAAGGGAUGCCAAAUCUGGUCCUGCUCUUAUGGCAGGAAAAUGUCAUCUUUGCUUUGAUUGUGACAAAGCAAGGAUUAUCACGAUUUAAAUUUAUGACGUACAUAGUUAUCUUGCCACAGUGAUGAAUUUGAAUGGCUGAAGAGUCAGCAUCUUAGGUAAGUUUGUCUGAUGAGCUGGUAUAUGCACAGCUGCACGAUUGUAACAGCCUUCCCAGGACUUGGAAUGUGGUAGUGCCUUUGGUUGUUUCAGCAGUUUCUUCAUGUGCCUCAGUUAAUGAAGCACUUUUGGUUUUUUGGUCAUUCAAAGAACAAUUUGGUUGCACAGAUGCUUUUCAAAGUCAUAUUUUCUGCUUAGAAAAUUCUCUUGGGUAUUGACAGCCAGCGCAGUUGUGGGUUGAGAGUGGUGCUGUCAUGGGGUGCUUAAACCAGCAUUUGCUCCUAUCAGCUGCAGUUGGCUUAGUUUAUACCUGUUUGGUCAUUACAGUGCACUUCCAAAUAUUAUUUUUCAUUAAUGAAAGUUGUGUUCUCAAUGAGGUAUUGAUCUGAGCAAGUUUGAGUAGAGACUUAAGAAAAUAUAAACUUACAUUUGUAAGAAAUUACAGAGUUACAUUUGUAUUGUCAGUGAGACAAAUUCCUUUAAUAAUUCCAGGUGUGUUACAGGAAAUUUUGUAUCUUGGAUGGUUCUGAUUCCCUACGUUUGUAAUAAAGGUACUUGAAUUUUGUUCUACCUCUCUUUUCUGAGGUUCAUUUUUAAACUGUUUGGACAUUUAUUUUAGCUUUCACAUUAUGAUGUAAACUAGAGUCCUUCAAACUUUAUGCAUAAAUAUACCCUGUCAGGGCAUACUCAUCAGUCAGGUGUUGAUCAGAUGCAAGAUUUUGCAGAGUCCAAAAAGUAAGUGUCUAAGUUGUUAAAUAAGAUGAAAGUAAAGUUAUGAGAAGACCAGAACAAGAUUGAGCAGAAUAGGAGAGCAAACUGCUCUGAAGGUGGUCUGUAAAAAGCAGUGUGAAAGAAUCUGGUGACAAGUACAUGUUCUGUUAAUUGUUCAAAGAAAUUGAUGCAUUAGGAUAUAGAACUUCAGUUUGAAAUGCAGACUUCUUUGGAGAAGCGGCUGCUUGCUUAAGUGGAGUUUCUUUUUCAAUACAUUGCAAGUAAUGUUUGUAGUGUAUUAGAAUGGAUGUUUUUUACUUGUGUGCAUCAAAAGUCACAAUCAAGUAACUGAAGUAAGAGCUUUUAUGUUUUAGUCUGUGUAACCAUUUUAUCAUUAAUGUGUUGAUAUUUACAAACUUGGCACCUGAGAUAAUUUUGAUGGCUUAUUUUUAAAUCAGUAUUUUUAAUGUGAGAAUUAUAGUGCAAGCUGGCAUCUUGAAAUCUGAACAAGCUAUGAUGAAAAACAGUACCAACAAUCAGUCUCUUUGAUUAGAAAUAUUUAGUUUUGAAUAUGAUGCCAAGUUACUGUCUUUGUAUAUUAGAUGAUAUCAAAAGGGAGUUCCUCACUUCUCACAUUGUGCUAUUGGCCUAGUCCUGUGCAAAGGAGUGUCAUCAUUGAGGCCUUUACUUUGCUCUCAGUUGAAGAAAAUGGUAAUCAACUGGAGUGACUAUAUGGGGGGUAUAUGGUGGAAUGGUUAAUACUAUUCCUAACACUCACUAAGAUGCCUGAUCUGUUUUUCAGACUUGAAAUUAUUUCUAGUACAGUGCUUUUCAGUCCACUUUGCCACAUGUUAGUAGGUGUUCACCUUGCUUUACAUAUGACAGCUGAGCUUAAAGCUUUUCUAAAAUGUUUGAUAUUUUAGAAUAUUAACUUAGAAAGCUAUUUCACUUUGGGUAGGAAGAAUAGCUUUAUCUUGCAGAUAACAGUGACUUCUACUAAAAUUAGGAAUGCUGUACAUAAAAUUUACUGCAUUAUAUGGUACUAUAAAGCUGAAAUAAAUCUUGAUAGUGCGGCAUCAGCAAUAUGUCCAGUUGUGCAAGGACAGGACAAAGAGCUGAGUUUGAGUCCCAGCUUACCAGACCAGACAGUACAAGAGCAUCAAAUAGAGAAAUAGUUCCUUUAUUCAACAUUGCUUUGUGGGCUUUUUCAGAAACAGGUAAGUCUAUGUCAGUAUACCAAUAAGGGGUAGAACGUUUGCAGGAUACUCUGCAGUUUAUAAUGCUGUUUGUUGUCUUUGUCUUGAAAUACAGAUUCCAUUUCCUGUGUAUUUCAAAUCUAAUGAAGAUUUUCUGUUUUCUACCAAAUAUGAUUUUAUUAUGGUGGAAGCUGGAAGCUGGUGUUCUGCACUUGUUAUAUAGUAAUUUGAGAUGGAAGUUGUCACCUGGUAGAGUUAAUACAGGAAGGAAAUUACUUGAUUGCACAAAGACUCAGAAAUCUUUUGACAGGACCAGAGGAAACGGGUACGUGCAGAAACACAGGGGGUUACUUCUGAGCAUCAGGAAACAUUUUUUCUGUGAGGGGUGACCAAGGACUGGCACAGGCUGCCCAGAGAGGUUGUGGAGUCUCCAUUCGUGGUGAUGUCACGAGCCAUCUGCAUGUGGUCCUGGGCACUGGAUCUAGGUGGCCCUGUCUGAGCUGAGGAGUUGGACCAGAUGAUCUCUAGAGAUCCCUUCUGACAUUAACAUGUCCAUGAUUCUGUCAUCUAAGAAAACUUUGGAUUUAUUAAACUUUACAUGAAUGAAUUAACAGUUAAACCUAUUACAUGCUUAGGUAUUUGGAUCUUUCCUUAAUAGGUUUCAUUUCAAUGUAGAUGUAUGAGCUGGGUAGUAUUGUUAAAUUUUACAUUUUCAAAUUAAGCAUGUCAAGACGAAAGCUCUUGGAGUGAAUGAGUUGUUGUUAAUGAAGACUGUGUGACCAUGUCUUGCCCUGCCCUUCCCCCAGCACAGUCUUACUGCUUCAGAGAUUUUAGCCCCACAAAGAUAAUCAGUUCUGCUGUCAUUAUUUUGGAAGAGGAGGUUAGGACACUGGCCUAACUUGGCACCUGCUGCAAAAUGACAGGUAAGGAGCCUUACAGGAGGGAAUGGGGAGCAUUGUGUGAAGUUCUGUAAAGCAGAAUUGCAAAUACUUCAGAAGCUGUGUUUUAGUGAGUUUCACAAUUCCUUUGGAAUGCUGGUUUUGUUUUGUUUUGUUUAAUUAGAGAAAAUUGGACUGUGAACAGUAUAGGAAGUUUUGUGUGAAACUAGAUUCCCUCUUAGAUUUUUGAAGAUACAAAAUGUCCUCAAAAUAGUGAGGUCAUCACUUAUAUAUAAGAAUUUUUCUGUAAAACAAAGCUUAUGCUGAUUUUCUAUAGUGUUAAAACUAAGAUAUGAGAAAACUGUCUCUUAGGCUUUGCAUAUGCACAUUUUUGCUACUUAAAAACAAUUUGAAAUUAUUUUGAAAUAAAAAAUGAGUCUUAAUAGAAGUAUGCCUAUUUGAACAUCCCUAACAUCUUAGUGGUUCUCUUAACUCCUUGUAUAAGCGUAUAUUUGUUUGCAUUGUGUGUAGCAUGAUGGUAUCCUGACUUCUGUUAAAGUAGUAGAGCUAUACUGAUCCUACUUAACUCUGUGCUAGCUAUGCUAGUUUAACGAUAUCUAGUUUACAGCAGACUUUUCUAAAUCUGUGUCUGCAAUAGGUGACCUCCGAGUUUCCAGAACCUGGCAGAACUAUCUUGUGAAAUUUUAACUGUAGCUUCCUCUGCUAAGUGCAGUAUUUUCAGAUGCUUUUCAUCUGUCAGGUGUCUUAAAUUUUCUUUGUGAAGUCACAUCUAUACAUCAUUAUUUCUAGGUGAACGAGAUGAUGAGGGUUAAAGGUUAUUCUCUUCUUCCUUAAACAAUUUGUACUUUUUAGCUGUUCAUGAUAAAGUAUCACAAAAUGCUCAGAACUUCACACCUUUGUAACCUGUCACAUGAGUUCUGAAUGGAGAAAAUAACACUGUUACUUGGACAUUUUUCCAAGUUGCUCAGCAUGAACACAGUCAUUGAAAGUAAAAAUCUGAACAUUGAAAGAUAUUUCUGCUGCUUCAAUAACUACGUUUUUUAAUGGGAGUGUCAUAGAGGGGAGCGGGCUGUAUUAAAAAAUACAGGAUUUAGUUGUUUCAUACAGAUUAUUGUAAUGACUUGGACUACUUUCUCAAAACGCACAGAAUUUUGCAAAAAUAUAAUUUGUGUAUAUAUAUUUGUAUAAAAAACAUUUUGAUGCUAUUGUGUCUUGCAUCUAGGAAUGUAAUGACUUGCAAAUGACCAAUUUUUAUUAAUUUUACAAAGUGCUUACAAAUUUUAGUAUCUUUGAAUUCAGAUCUUGCUGAAGCUGUACAGAUGAGAACUUUUGUGUCUUCUGUUUAAAUACUUUCAGACAUGUUCAUCAUUCCCUAAAUACUGAAGAAAUAAUCUAAUUUCUGUAUGGUGAAGAUCUGCAAUCCAGGCAAAACAGAAACAAAUGUCCCUUGAUCGCAGAUUGUCACUGGCAUGUGUUCACUAGUAACUGCCACCAUUUGUUCUUUUUUGAAAUCUGAUCCCAGAAGAGGAAUAUUACUGCAUUUGCAUUCCUCAUUCUGUGUAAGAUGCUAACUUCAGAUACCCUACACCUUGUAACUUGAAAGUUGUGAAAUGGAUGUAAAAUAUUUUUAAUGAUCUUGCAAAGGAAAUUGAAUGCCUUGUUGGCUUAGCUCAAGUAGUAUUUUCCCUUUUUAAGAAACUUAGUUCUUCUUUUGAGCUCUAAUUUGAUAAUUUUUUUUCCCAUUAAAUGCUUGCUUGCUUCUAGUUCUCUGCAAGUAUAUGCACUUAUUAAGAGAGUUUGACAAAGACAAGAUUGGAAAAAAUUGUGUUGGCCGUUUGUCUCCUAUAAUCCCUGGCAGGUGUACAGUGAUGCCAGGUAACAAUUGAUUUAGUCUCUGAUGGUUUUAUUGUCCUCGGCAGGGACUACUCAUAAUUAAGAUGAGCAGGUUUGGCUAGAUUAAAGUUAAUACUAAGAGAAGAAUGGGGAGGAUAAGAUUGCCUGACCAUUUAAGAAUGUCUAGCACUAUAUCUUCUGUUAGUAUGUCAGCAGCCAACAUUGUUAUUUGUUACCUUUUGAUAGGUAAGCCUGAACAAAUGCAAACAUGAACACAGCUCUGCGGAUCAUCUCGGGUUCCCUUUGGAAACCCCAAAUAAGUGGCCACAAGGGAUUGUGUGUUUUCCUGAGAACAGCUCGGCAAUGGAGUUCUUCUUUCUGUGUGCUGGAUAGUGGUUCUGCUACUCUCAAAAUCAUACCUGUGCCUGCUGGUGCAAAAAGACAUAUGGUCACUUCAGUGGAAGUCAAAAUUUACCUGUGCUGCUCUUGUGUGUUGCUAGGUUACUGUUAAAAUCUUAAAAAUGCAGAUGAAGACUGGCUUGUGCAGAAUCCUUCUGCUAUCUUAUGCAGACAAAAGGGAAUCCUAAACCAGGUUUUAGUACAAGGUACGUAUAUUAAGGUAUAUUACUUUAUCCAGCAGUUACUGAAAUCAGUACCCCACUUUUUGUUCAGAUUUGUGAUUUUAUGUAGUUGUGCUUCUACACUUCAAUUAAUACUUUAUUUCAGAUAAUGUAAUUCCUGGCAUAGUUCCUGCCAUGUGUUAUGUUUUUAAAGGACUUCAAGCAUAUGCACACAGCUUUUAGCAGCCAGCUCAAGCUCUGGCCAGCCAUCCAAACCCCAUAGUGCCACGUUAAUUUGAUGCCAUGACUGAGCUGCUGGAUGUUACUGAUACAUAGCACUCAGACUCCUGAUUGUACAACCAACACAGUAGUUACUGUUCUGAACAGUCUUUGGCAUUAAUCAGAAGGCUCUGUUAUGGAAGGCAGUAUCCAUGUACUCUGGGAGACCUGGGGCAGAGUUUGAUUUGUGUGCAAGCAGGUGUGUAGUGCCAUCUGCCCUGACUCUGUGGACAGCAUCUUAAUGGGUCUGACAGAUAGCAAGUUUUUAAAGGGAGCUCUAUGCAUCUAAGUUCAAUAGUUCUGGUAGUUCCAAAAUUCAAAAAUACCAGUUAUUUUUAUAAAGUAAAAGUAAAUUUAAACACUGGUGGGAUUUGACCAAGAUGUGCAAGUUCUACUGGUAAAGCAAGAGAAAUUUGUGUUAAUUCUUCUGUGUUGGUUUGGCUUAGCAAAAUGACUCAGAGCUGUCUCUGUAGUUGUGUUAACAGUGAACUGGAAAUAUAAAGGACCAGAACAAUUUAUCUGUUUUGUAAUCACAUGUAGAAGGUGUCCCUGUCCAUGGCAGGGGUUCAGACCAGAUGAUCAUCCUUCUCCAUUUGCUGGCAACUUUCUUUGUAAAGCAGGAUGCCAUUUGGAUGCCUUUGUGGCCAGGUUGCACUCUUUGCUCAGGGUGGUUCUUGGACCUGGUGUUUACCAGGGCCACCAUGUCCUUGCCUGCAAAGGGGCACUCCAGCCAGCUGGCCUCCAGCCUGUCCUGGUGUCUGGGAUUAUUUCUCCCCAGGUGCAGGAUUUGGUAUUUCGUUCUGUUGAAUUUCACGAGAUCCUGUAAACCCAUUUCUCCAGCCUGUCGAGGGAUCACUGGAUGGUGGCAUGACACUACGGCCUUAGCAGCCACUCCUCUCAGCUUUCCUGUCAUCUGCAGACUUGCUGAGGACAUGUUGUCCCAUCAACCAGGGCAGAAAUGAACAUCCUGAAAAGGACUGGCCUCAGUACAGGGAUACUCUGCUAUUCACUCACAUCCAAGAGGACUUAAUGCCACCAACAACCUUCUAAGCCUGUCUCUUCAGACAGCUUUUAGUCCGGCUCAUGGUCUACUUACUGAAAGUAUCAGUAGUCUGUCAGUAUCAUGACAGGAUCAAAAUAAUAACUGGAGAUACUACGGCAGUGUCAAAAGAUUUCCUAAGCCAAGGCAGACAAUAUCCACUGCUCUCCCCAUGUCCACUGAACUGGUCACCUCACCAGAGAGGCUCUCCAGUUGGGAACCUUAAGCAUUUGCAAAUGACCUCAUUGUAAAUACAUGCUGACUGCUGCCACUUAAACCUUCUUGCCCUUCUUGGUCUGGAAAUGGGUUUUGGAAUAGUUGUUCCAUCACCUUCUGAGGGCCUAUAGUUCCCUGCAUCCUCUUUCCUGCCCUUCUUGAAGACAGGAGUGACUUUUGCUUUCCCCUGGUCCUUGCACACCUCUCCCAGUUGUCACACUCUGUCGGCAAUGCAGUGUAGCCUUGCAAAGCCAGCAGCCAGCUCCUUCAGCACUCACGGGAGCAUCCUAUCAAGCUCAGCAUGUGUGACUUUUCCAGUUCGUGUUCCAUAACCUGGACCCUGUCAUGUUCUUAGUACUGGGAGGGGCACUGAUGAGGUGGGAAAGUUGUUGCACACCUUUUUGUGGUUCUGAUUUUGCCCUUUACUAGGGAGUCACAUUAUUUUUCAGUUGUAGUAAAAUCACAGUAUAAAAAUUGUCACACAAUAAUUUGCAAUAUAAGCUAGACUAUUGAAGUAAGCAAGCUACAAGCAUUUACUCACAAAAUCUAAAAAAGACAAGCAGCUAAAGCUCUUUCUCAAAAAAGUAGUAGUAAAAAAGAAAAUGCCUAUUUUUUCAGAGUUUGGUUCAAUUUUUUUUUUUUUUUUAAUCUAGAGGACAUUUUGUCUUGUCCAUGUAACCACUGGAAUUCAGUCUUGCUUGUCACUACAUAUGAGAGUGCUGCUGUGCAUGAGAGCCAUUUGGGACCCUCAGUGUUUGGCAGGUUUCCCAGGCAUCUCAGAAUUUUUCUGUCAGCUUACAGUUUCCUUCCUGUGAAGGGAAAAAAGGAUGAUCAAGGUUCCUUGGAGAUACAAGUGUUUCUUUUACCAGCUAAAUAACAACUCCUUGUCUCAAUGAAGUGGUAAAUGUAUCUUCCUCUUUUUCCAUUCCUCGUAUGUGUGUGGACCUCAGACUGCAGAGUGAACCUGGCUGAUGAAGUGUAGUGGCCUAAUGAAAUUUUGUUAAGUAUUGUGCCAGGCUGCCUGUUCCUGGGCUUCCUGAACAGAGGGAGCUCCUUGCCAUUGGAGUCUUCUUAAGUGCUCUACUUUGAUGAUAAGAGCACACUUACACGGAAGUUCUCACUCAAGUGUCUUUUAACUCUUUAGCCUGAAUCAUACUUACUUCUUGGAAAUGUUUCUCUCCAUUGAAUGCAUUAGGUUUCAAUGGAAGCUGCUGGUGGCUGCCCAUCCUCAGAUCUGAGGCUGUUAGAUUGUAAUGAUGUGCAAAAUGCUGCUCUGCACCUUGGAGUUACAAGGACCAUCCAGGUGAGAAUAUAAUAAUGUUGUCACUUGUUAGAACUCCUGUAAUGGUAAACUUUGCACUCAGUUUCAGCUUGUUAGUACUAUUUUUGUGCUUAAUGCAUGAAUGUUUUUUUUUCCCCCUUCUAUCUCUCUGUGCUCUUGGGCAAACAAAUAAUGCUGUUAUCUAAUAAAACAGUAGCUACAUCUCUCACACCUGGCUGAAGGUAGGAGAAGGACAAACUGAUCACUCUCAGUUAAGCUGUUUUCUCUCUGCUUGUAGACAGGUCAGACCUAUGAGACCUGAGGGAAAAGGGCUGUUUGAAAUUAUAAAAAAGAACCCAGCCUGGAGGUGGUGUAUCCCCCACCAAUACCUCAGCUUGGAAGACAUGAGAAGAAUGUGAAUACAUCUGCUUGUGAGCUCCAAGUCCUCUUUCUACAUGAGGAGACAAGUUACAGCUUUUGUGAUGUUAUUGUUUUCAGCCUUUGGCACAGAAGGUGGUGCCAGUCCAGCAUUUAAUAGUAAAGCUGAUGUUGGCCUACUUUACUGAUGCCCUUUUCAUCUAGACUGCACUCAAAGCAGAUUUUCUUCCUAGAAAUAGCAGUGUUACGGCAAGUGGGUGUCACUAAAAUGAUUAAAGUUUGUAUGUUCUACAAGAAUAAUAAGAGUAAAUGAUAUAUUACAUGACUGCUGUUGGACUUUAAAAAAGCCUUUUAAAAUUAAGAAGGUAUUUUCAAGCCCUACAAUAUAUGACAAAAAAUAGGAAAGUGGUAGGGUUUAAAGAAAAAGCAGUAAUGUGGAUUGUGUUUAUGCUGCAGUAGUUUAGAAGACUAUGAAAGUAUUAAUUACGUAGAGAAAAAUUGUAUGAGCCAAUGACAGCUGAAAAGAACUAGAAGGAAAUGUUAAUCAUGGGGGAGAUUACAGCUGCAGUAAGCUGUCUGUGCUGUAGGAAGUUAUACUACAAAUGCCUACUGUCUUAAUGUAGCUCAAUAAAAAAAUGAGAAAACAUGAAGAAUGAAAAAUUAAUUUUAUGUGAUGAGAUUUGAACACUGGCCUGUAACAUACUACAAGGGUUUUAAAAAAAAUUUGAUAUAGCUAUUGUAAAACUUUCAAAUUAAAUUAGUAACAGGAUGUUUAUUUUUUAUUUCCUGAAAUCAGCAAGGCAGUGGACAUGAAUUGAAGGCUUGACAGGAACCUCACACAGUUAAAUCCUGCAGUGGGAACUGAACUAAGCUGGUGCAGUUGUAGAUCCUGGGCACAGACUGGUGGCGAAGCAGCUUUGUGGAAAGCUGAUCUGGGGUCGUGACAGACAAGUGAAGACGAAGGUGUCCACCCCCAUGCUGGGGGCUCCAUUAGAAGAUCAUGGCUGAGCAGGGGCCAGAAAGAGCAAUCUCUGUGCUCAGCACAUCUGAGACUGCAGCUGAAACACUGUGCCCAGUAAUGGACUCUUGAAGACAAGGAGAUGUGGGAAUGAAUCCCAUGGAAGCCAUUGGGCCAUCAGAAGGCUGAGGAGCACAGGAGCCAUGAAGCCAGGCAACAGGGGUUUUUCCAGCUGGAGAACAGGAGAUGGAGGUGGUUAAGAGAUUCUACUAAUCCAGCUGUGUAAGAGAAGUGCAUAGAGAAGGUGGAGUCAGGCUCAUGGCAGUGGUGCAAAGUAUGGUGGCAGUUUUGGACCGUUGUUACAGUGCAUGGAAGUGUUGCACCAUACCACUAAUAAAAACAGUGCAAGGCAGCACUGUGUAGCUGUACUUACCUUGGCUCCCUGCACUGUGGAAUCAUUGGGGGCUUCCUGCUAAUCAUUUGGUUUCAGGAAGGGUGGAUGCAGGGGACCUGGGCUGGAGGUUCACUCAUGGGUUUACGGAUCUUAACCCUGUUAUUCGCUGAAAGAACUACUGUGAUACUGACACAGUAGAGCUGACAGUGAGGGAAUGUCCAAAGCCUUUAAAUCUCCUGUGCAAACUUUUCCCUAAGGGUUGUCUUACGCAACUUCAUAAAGUCUUUUUCAGAAAAACUCUGUCAGCACAACCUUUACAAGGGGGUUGGGGCUGGGACAGCACCUUACCCCCUCCCCCACUGGAGGGCUGUAUUCAGUAUAAGACAUGCAGCUGCUGUCCCUUAAGUUCUGCUGGCCCAUGCUCACACAGUUGCAGUGAAUUGUUUCAGAACGGGCCCUCAUCUCCCUGGGUAUGUGACAAUGUUUUCAGUUCCCAUACACAUGGUUUGGGUGUCUCAGCAGCAGAACUGUGCCUUCCCUUAAGAGCAAGAGGCACAGCAGCAGUGGGAGACAAUGAGAAGGUCUGACCCCUCUGCUAUAGCUGCACCAGUGCCACCACUAACUGCUCAGAGUUUCUUACACUUCAGAUAAUGGUGGAAGUAUUACAGAUAUUCUGGAAAAAGAUUCAUGAUAGGUGAAACUUCUGCUGUGGAAAAACAGGUGACCUGGUAUCAAAAAGAACCUGGUCUCUUCCUGCUGACUCCUAUAUUUGAGGUAUCUGAGAUUUGAGAGACCCUUUUAAAGCUUAAUUUUUCCUGCUGUCUCAGUUCUGCUUGAACUUGUAGUAUGUGGUGACUUUUUCAGGUAGUUUUUUCCCUAUAUUCCUUGUUUACAUGGGACACAGAAAACCAGGAAUUUUGAACUGUCAGGAUUCAGUGAUGGGCUUGCACUACAUGCCCAUGCUGCAGUAGUGUAGAAACACAUGGCCUUUAUUUUAUAGUUCUCUUGCCUUCUUAAAAGACCAGGCUCUAUUAUGGACUCCAGCAAAGCUGAACACACUGCUACAGGAAUACAUCCUGCAGGGUCAUCACUGCUCCCAUGAUCCUGGGCAGUCACUACUUUGAGAGACUUUGAAGAAAGUCUUUGAAGAAAGAUGUUACAGCAGCUGCUUUCCAGUACCAUAUGGAAAGGCACGUGGUGGUUAACAGAACUACAGGAGAGACAGACAAGCAGAACAUUUGGGGACAGCUUCUGUGCACUUGGAGCCGUCCUGGCUGGCUAAGAUGGCAGCAGAAUGCUGUGCUGUCUCUUCCCCAUAUUGGAACAGCUUUCUUAAAUUCAGACUGAUCAAAACAUCUUGUUUUUGCAAAUGGGCACAGAAAGCACAGAAGAGCUGUGAUGUGGUCAGCUGCAUCACCCGCCAACCUUCAGCACCUGUGAAAGAAGCCAGGAACAGCAGGACUGGUGCUGGAGCAGUGAAGUAAGAACCCUGAACCUUCAGAACCAUAUGCUACCACUGCAGUUCAUAGGAACUGCAGCUGCAGCCCUUGCUGGUGGCAGCAAGAAGAAACUGAGCAAAUACUUCACAGGUAUUUCUCCACAGUGCCUAAAUAAUUGUUUUUUAUUGUAGCUACUUUAUCUUCAUCCUUUGUCCACCAAAACCUUUUUCAGCAAUCAGACAAAACCCAUACAAUAAAAACAGACAAAACCCAGCUUCAAACAGCUUUUCAUACACUUCUUAUGCAUCUUCAAUAGGGAUUCUGAAUUUAUAUUGCCAACUAAAAGCGAAAGAUGGCUGCGAAAUAUCCAUCCCUAAUAAAAACAUCAUGAAACCCA